GACGAACGCUGGCGGCGUGCCUAAUACAUGCAAGUAGGACGCAGUUGCGAACGGGUGAGUAACGCGUCGGUCACUACCUAUUAGAGGGGGAUAACUAUUGGAAACGAUAGCUAAUACCGCAUACUAGUAGAUGGACCUGCUUUGUAUUAGGUCGUAGGUAGGGUAAUGGCCUACCUAGGCAACGAUACAUAGGCGACCUGGGAGGGCGAACCGCCACACUGGGACUGAGACACGGCUCAGAAUCCUAUGGGAGGCAGCAGUAGGGAAUCUUCGGCAAUGGGGGGAACGCUUACCGAGCAACGCCGCGUGGGUGAAGAAGGUUUUCGGAUCGUAAAGCUCUGUUGUUAAGGAAGCGGUACUUAACCAGAAAGGGACGGCUAACUACGUGCCAGCCGCCGCGGUAAUAC
rnacentral:rRNA from 1 species